CCUACGGGUGGCAGCAGUGAGGAAUAUUGGUCAAUGGACGAGAGUCUGAACCAGCCAAGUAGCGUGAAGGAUGACUGCCCUAUGGGUUGUAAACUUCUUUUAUAAAGGAAUAAAAUGAUGCACGUGUGGCUUUUUGCAUGUACUUUAUGAAUAAGGAUCGGCUAACUCCGUGCCAGCAGCCGCGGUAAUACGGAGGAUCCGAGCGUUAUCCGGAUUUAUUGGGUUUAAAGGGAGCGUAGGUGGGUUGUUAAGUCAGUUGUGAAAGUUUGCGGCUCAACCGUAAAAUUGCAAUUGAAACUGGCAGUCUUGAGUACAGUAGAGGUAGGCGGAAUUCGUGGUGUAGCGGUGAAAUGCUUAGAUAUCACGAAGAACUCCGAUUGCGAAGGCAGCUUACUAGACUGUAACUGACACUGAGGCUCGAAAGUGUGGGUAUCAAACAGGAUUAGAUACCCGAGUAGUC
rnacentral:rRNA from 1 species